AUUAAAAACCAAUGCCCUUCGGGGCUCUCUGGUGAUUCAUAAUAACUUCUCGAAUCGCACGGCCUUGUGCCGGCGAUGGUUCAUUCAAAUUUCUGCCCUAUCAACUUUCGACGGCUGGGUCUUGGCCAGCCGUGGUGACAACGGGUAACGGAGGGUUAGGGCUCGACCCCGGAGAAGGAGCCUGAGAAACGGCUACUACAUCCAAGGAAGGCAGCAGGCGCGCAAAUUACCCAAUCCCGACACGGGGAGGUAGUGACAAUAAAUACUGAUACAGGGCUCUUUCGGGUCUUGUAAUUGGAAUGAGUACAAUUUAAAUCCCUUAGCGAGGAACAAUUGGAGGGCAAGUCUGGUGCCAGCAGCCGCGGUAAUUCCAGCUCCAAUAGCGUAUAUUAAAGUUGUUGAGGUUAAAAAGCUCGUAGUUGAACCUUGGGCCUAGCCGGCCGGUCCGCCUCACCGCGUGCACUGGCUCGGCUGGGUCUUUCCUUCUGGAGAGCCGCAUGCCCUUCACUGGGUGUGCC
rnacentral:rRNA from 1 species